rnacentral:rRNA from 1 species
UAACGACUCUCGGCAACGGAUAUCUCGGCUCUCGCAUCGAUGAAGAACGUAGCGAAAUGCGAUACUUGGUGUGAAUUGCAGAAUCCCGUGAACCAUCGAGUCUUUGAACGCAAGUUGCGCCCCAAGCCUUCUGGCUGAGGGCACGUCUGCCUGGGU